rnacentral:lncRNA from 1 species
CAACACCCACACGCGCUGGACAAUCCCCAGUAUAUUUUCCCCCUCUCUCCCUCGCGCUGCUCCAUCCUCGACUGCCAUGGCCGCCAUUGUCGUCGUCGGUCGCAUAGCCACCACACGCCCCUCGCUGCCUCUCUGCGUCCAUCGGCUCCGACGGGAUCCUCUUUGUCUCCCUCGCCGCAGGACCCGAGCCGGCGAGCGCCACUGCCGUCGCCUGCAUCAUCUUCCCCAACCUCGGCCACCGCAUCUCGCUUAGACCUACGCAUCCCCGACCAUCCCCGAGCCUCCUGAGCCGCCCUACGAGUGCGCGGUGAGCUCCUACUCUGAUUCCCCGCGACCUCGGCUUCGAUCCAUGCGUUUUUACGUCGUUGUUCACCAUGGACCGAGCUCCUGUGUUCAUGCACGCCUUGCAAGCUCCCAGCCAUGUUCGCGCCCCUGCUGCUCCUUGUGCUGCUUUGCUGUUUGUUGCGUUGGCUGUGUUGCUGCUUGCCACUACUCCUGCUAGCUAUUGUUUGCUAGCCGCUGCUCUUGCUGUUGCUGCUGCGUCGCUGCAGCUCUGCUACUACUGCGCUGCUUACUGCUGCCGCUACUUCUGCCAGCCGCCGCCGCCGUUGCUGCUCCGAGUCUGCGCGCUGCGCGCAGCUGCCCGCACCAUGCCUUGCGCGUGCCCCAGCCGCACCAGCCCCAUGUAGAGGCGUGCGCCACUGCAGGCUGUUGUUCCUGGCCAAGACUCGUGCGUGCCCAGCCAUGGGAAUGGUUGUGCCUAUGGCCGGCCUUGUUUGAUUACUAGUAGGUUUAGUUCAGCGAUAUUUUAAUGCUAAUUUAGUAUAGUAGUAGAUGACAUGUAGGACCCUAUUAAAUAAGUUAGAUUUAAUUAUUUGAUUAGGUAAUAGUUUAUGACAUGUGGGCUACAUUUGCCCUUUUAACUAGUCAAAUUGACUUGGUCAAUUUGGAUUAAACUAGAUAUAAUAAUUUCAGAAAAUUAUUAAAAGUUGAAAAUUAAUAUAUAAAAAACCGUAGCUCGGAUGAAAAAACUUUGUACAUGAAAGUUGCUCAGAACGACGAGACGAAUCCGCCCGUUCGUCCGCCAUGCAUCCUUAGCAUAGCAAACACGCAACUUUCCCCCUCCGGUUCAUCUGUCCGAAAACGCGAAACACCGGUGAUAUUUUCUCGAAUGUUUCCCCCCUUCACCGGUACCACCUCUUACCGCGUUAUGGCACCCCUAGCACCGUUAUUUGUCAUGUCAUGCAUCGCUAUGCAUCUGUUUGCUUAAUAUUUAUUGUUUCUUCCCCCUCUUCUCUCCCUAGACACCGAGACCGACGCCGCUACUACCCAGUACGACUACGGUGUUGACGACCCCUCUCUCUUGCCAGAGCAAGAAGGAAAGCCCCCCUUUGAUCACCGGAUAUCGCCUACUCUUCUCUCUACUGCUUGCAUUAGAGUAGUGUAGCAUGUUACUGCUUUCCGUUAAUCCUAUUCUGAUGCAUAGCCUGUCAUUGUUGCUCCAGGUGUUGAUACCUUACCUGCAAUCCUAAUGCUUAGUAUAGGAUGCUAGUUUAUCAUCAGUGGCCCUACAUUCUUGUAUGUCUGCCAUACUAUACUAUCGGGCCAUGAUCACUCGGGAGGUGAUCAUGGGUAUAUACUAUAUACUUUAUACAUGAUACAUGUGAUUACUAAAGUCGGGUUGGCUCGAGGAGUACCCGCGGUUGAUACACGAAUUAGGGGCUGGAAGGACAUACUUUCCCGACGGCCCUCUAUGUGGAUCUUUGUGGCGAAGCGAUAGGGCAGGUUGAGACCACCUAGGAGAGAGGUGGGCCUGGCCCUGGUCGGCGUUUGCGGAUACUUAAACACGCUUAACGAGAUCUUGGUAUUUGAUCUGAGUCUGGCCACUGGCUUAUACGCACUAACCAUCUACGCGGGGACAAUUAUGGGCACUCGAUGUCGUGGUAUCAGCCGAAACCUUCAUGACGUCAGCGACUGAGUGGCGCGCGCCGGAUUGGACUGGAACGCCUGCUAGGCUAGGUCUGCUUCCGGCCAUGUUCGCAACGUGCAGGUGUGCAAAGGGCGAUGGGCCCAGACCCCUACGCCAUAGGAUUUAGACCGGCGUGCUGACCUCUCUGUUGUGCCUAGGUAGGGCUGCGACGUGUUGAUCUUCCGAGGCCGGGCAUGACCCAGGAAAUGUGUCCGGCCAAAUGGGAUCAAUCAUGUUGGGUUAUGUGGUGCACCCCUGCAGGGAAGUUAAUCUAUUCGAAUAGCCGUGAUCUUCGGUAACAGGACGACUUGAAGUUGUACCUUGACCUUAUGACAACUAGAACCGGAUACUUAAUAAAACACACCCUUCCAAGUGCCAGAUACAACCGGUGGUCGCUCUCUCACAGGGCGACGAGGGGAGGAUCAUCGGUUAGGAUUAUGCUACACGAUGCUACUUGAUGAACUUACCAUCUACUCUCUUCUUCUACUACAAGAUGGAGGUUACCAGAAGCGUAGUCUUCGACAGGAUUAGCUAUCCCCCUCUUAUUCCAGUAUUCUGCAGUUCAGUCCACAUAUGUUACCCCCUUUUCCAUUUGAUACCAAUGCAUACAUAUGUAGUGUAGCUCCUUGCUUGCGAGUACUUUGGAUGAGUACUCACGGUUGCUUUGCUCCCUCUUCUCCCCUUUUCUAUACUCGAUUGCUGCGACCAGACGAUGGAGCCCAGGAACCGGAUGCCACUGUCGAUGACGACUACUACUACUCGGGAGGUGCCUACUACUACAUGUAGUCCGCUGACGACAACCAUGAGUAGUUUAGGAGGAUCCCAGGCAGGAGGCAUGCGCCUCUUUCGGUCUGUAUCCCAGUUUGUGCUAGCCUUCUUAAGGCAACUUGUUUAAUUUAUGUCUGUACUCAGAUAUUGUUGCUUCCGCUGACUCGUCUAUGAUCGAGCUCUUGUAUUCGAGCCCUCGAGGCCCCUGGCUUGUAAUAUGAUGCUUGUAUGACUUAUUUUUAUUUGUAGAGCUGUGUUGUGAUAUCUUCCCGUGAGUCCUUGAUCUUGAUCGUACACGUUUGCGUGUAUGAUUAGUGUACGGUCAAAUCGGGGAUGUCACAAGUUGGUAUCAGAGCCGACUGCCUAUAGGAAUUCCCCUUUCCAACUCCUUGGCCGAAGUCGAGUCUAGUCAUUGAAAAACUUUUACUAACAUGGCUGUGUGGCUUACGGGCCCACGUCGCCAUUGGGUGGUAUUAGGAUCUUUUACUCCUUGUCUAUACUCUGGGACUUUGAACUCUCUUCUACUCGGGUUAAACGAAUUUGCUAAAAUCUAACAUUAGGAUCUCGUGAUCACUUUCACCCGAAGAGCCCCUUAUCACAGAUGAUGGCCUGCUUCACCAGAAGAUUCCGAAAAUACUCUCUGAUAUUCUCUCGAGACUUUGUGCCCACCACUUUUGUUAUUCCCGUCCACCGAUAAAUCGUUAUGGAUAACCACAUACACUUGUCCUUCUUACAAUCAGUCCCCAGUUGCUCUUGUUAUUAUAAGAUACCCCAAAAUACUUGUUGUUGUCCAAGAAUACUUUGUGCCAUCGGUUUUGCAAUUACAUUCCAUCGAAAAAAACCCUACGAAUAAUUUCUCGCACCUACCGAGUAUCCACUCAUCCCUAGUGGAUUCAUGUAUGUCACCAAUCUUCAAAAUACCAUUCGAUCUUCCGAAAAUCCUCAACAGCCUAUUGCUCUUGAAAUUUUGGCUUGCUUACAUUAUGGUUAAUCCCUUAAAUCUAGUAAUCUUAUUGGCAUCCUUUGUCACUACCAUUUUGAGUCUGUCGAUUCAAUAUGCUGCGGAUGCUCGUAAUCCUCAGGAUUUAUCCAACCGGCUCAGACAUCAUUUUAAACAUGAGCUGGUUCUCGACCAAUCGGAUUACCGUCGAUUGUACCCCUAAGGCUAUUCAACUUAUCCAUCCCUAAUCAGAGCAUUGCUUCUGAUCCCUUGUCUUGGAAGUCAUAAUUCCUUUGCAUUUGAGCUUUGAGUUAGUCAGUUGUUUCUAUAAUCUGAUGCACUUGCAUUCCUUCUUCCUUUGAUAGAGUACUGAUACUCACAUCAGCUCAGUUGUAGACCACCAGACCUAUUGUUGGAUUAUUAUCCGACAGUGUCCUUCAUAUUAAAAUAACCUCGAUAAGCCUUUCCACGGAUAUAUAAAGCCUUUGGUAAAUUGUAUCCUCUGUUUUCUCAUCCAUGCUCUGUUUUUGAGCUGGUGGUAUUUACUAUUGAAGCUUGUGGUAUAUGUUUCCACGAUACCCUGACGGAUUGAACCUAUGCCUUCCUUAAUAUGUGUGAACUCGAAAGUUUUCACGAGUCAUACUCUUCUGGUAUUUUUCUAGAUAAAAUUUCAACACUACAACUUCUUCGAAGUGAGAGGUGAAUGGAAGGUUAUACAUUGAAGAAGUGGGAGUCGACCUUGAACUUGUACUCAUGCCCAUGGACACGAUGUAGAUCCUACCAUAGAAGCUUCUUGUAAUAAUAAUGAUUUCGUUGAUAUAAUAUCAUCUGGUAUCUGUGAAUUGAUCCUAUGCAAUCGUGGUUCCGACCAUAUUUUCUCUUUGAUCCCAUUUCUCGGACAAGUUAAAGCACUUGUCUUUUGCAAGUCAAUAGACCAGUCCAACCUCUACCUUGAUCUACCAUCGAGUAUUACCCUAUGGUAUCUCGAGAAUAUCUAAGUAUUGUGUUGCAUCUUAUGAGUCUUCAUCAGCUAUUAUUUCUCACUGAUUCCAAUUUUUCAUGGGUUCUGAGUUGUUAGUCGCUCAAGAACACCGGUAAGUGAACCGAUUCCGCACUCUAGUUCGGUAACUCUAAGUAAUAUUUGUUGCUUAUGAGUUUAAUAAUCCUUCAAGUCAUUCCUAUCCUAAUCGGCUAUAUCAUUAUUGUGCUAAAUUUAACUGUGCUACCUGGUCCUUCCUGGAGCAAAAAUUUCGACGGUGAGCUAAUCUUACGUCGACCUUCCUCGUCAUAUCAAUUGUCCUUGAACAACAAGUGUGAUUUCAAGUUUGUGUCGUACCCAUGGUUUCAGUAACUUUUCGCUUCAUCAUUCCGUUGACUUGAUGUCAUCGCCGAUCGGUUACAUCUUCUUGAAACCUCUCGGCAAUUGUGUCGUGAUAAUCAUCAACAUCCUAAUCUCUUCCAAGAUAUAUAUAUCGAUUUCUUAAUCGGUAAUACCAUCCUUGCCACUCGAUAAUUCGUGUUAUCAUCGACCACUUUAUUGCCUUCCGUUCAACACAAACUUGGUCAUGUUUUGUGUUAUACGUUGAGAUCCUUGAUGUCCAGCAUUUGUUCUUGUUUACCUUGGAAGUAUUACCAUCAUUUAUGUCAAGAAAGUUAGGAGAGUUUCACCACCUCUUAAGAGAUCUUGAUACAGGUGAUACUUCUUGCCAUAUCCGUUCAUUCCUUGGUCCCCGUGUUGUUUCUAACCGGAAAACUGAGAAUUGAACUAUGAUGUGCGACUUCAAAACUUCUAGCAACCCUAUGGCUUUGAAGUUAAUGGUUGAUAUUUCAUUCUUAUACCAUUGGUCAUCGAAUCACCAUUCUAACAUUGAUCAUGCUACCUAAGCCCAUAUUUUGGGUGCACCUUUCAAUCAAUGUUUAACUGUGUAUGUUUUCCUCGAGCAUACCUCAUUAUAUCAUUUGAUCUAACAAAUGUUAUCUCCUUGUUCAAAUACUGGUGGAAAUCCAUCUUUUGGAAAUCUCGAUUCAUUGUCGCUGAGUUCAUCAGCCACCUCCUCAUCCUCUCCUUGGUUAAUGAUGAACUUUGGUUUUGGAACUUGCUUCUAUAGUUCAUUUCCUGAGAAUCUUAUAUUGUCAUCUCGCCGAUUUGUGUUGCACCUCUUCUUCUCAGGCAACCUGAGUCUGGGGUAUCCUGACACCAAUCGGACCUAAAGCUCGGUCAGAUAUGAUGGUUGGAACAUAUAUCCAAGAGUUAUAACAUUGGUCUUUAUAUGACCCAGUAAGAUGAUGUCAUGCCUAGCACACCUGGCCGGAAGACCUAUUGUUAUAGUUUCCUUUUUAACAAGCUUAGCGAUUCUUCCUUGAGGAAAUCAUAAGACUUAUUUUAUAAGUUGUUCCUGAUGGAUCCUUUGUGUAUCCAAAGUCUAACCUUUGCUUGAAGACCAUGUCAAUGCUAUCUCGAAGCAUGUCUAUGGUACUCCGCUUUUCUAAAAGAGUAUUUGAAGCACAAUGCUAAAUUUUCUUUAUCAAUUAUCCUGAAGUCGUUGUAUGGGUAAUGUCAUGAAAUCCCUCGCCCCUUUACCUAAUUGAUUCUUUACUUGUUGUCCUGUCAUGGAUGGGAAAGAUAUACUCUUCAUACUCGGGUAUAAACACAUUUUCCUAUCCAUUGUUCUGAUUAAUAUACUAAUCACAUUUUCCUUUCCAUCGUUUUGUUUAACCUCUCUUGUAAUCUGAAUUACCUGAGCAGUGAUAGUUCCGUGCUUAUGUAAACACCUCAGUGUACAACUUUAUUAGUAAGGACCCUGUUGCUAUUGUUGAUGACAUUUCGGUAACCACCGAUGGACGAGAACUUUGCCUAUUGGUCCGCCUCGUUCAACGAGCAGGAAAAUGGUUCUCUUCGUCCCUCGCCCUUGGUACCGAUGUUGUUGCCGACAUAACUGAUAGGCUAUCCUCUGACAUGCCUUGCUUACAUGAUCGUGCAAGACAUCAUCGCCCUUCCUACUUUUAACCCACAUGGUGGGCCCAUAACCCACAGUUCCACUAGAUCGAAACCCGACUCUCCUGUACAUCCCUGAUUCAAACUUAUCCUUGCACUUGGUUUCAUAGGUAAUUUGCAAGCCACCUUACUAGUGAUCUAUUAUGGUAUCAGAUACAAAACUAAUUCUUGUUGCUCUGAACCCCUUUCACGCACUGUUUCACGCAACGAUGAUUGUCUAUCCGCUUGAAGCUUCUUACUUCACCUUCUAACCUUGCUCUUGAUGACUUUCUUGAAUUUCAACUCGAGAGAUGCCUCUAUGACACGUUCACUCAGAUAGCCCCCAGGUACCUAUCUUGUGUUGAGCUUCGCCCUUCCCGAGUCUUUCCCCUUACUCCACCCUUUAAAUCUCGGGACAAGAUUUCUUGUAGUGGAAGAGAUUUGUAACAUCCCGAGAUUCUUGCUACAGUAAUCUUCCACUAAUUAUGCCUGGUCAUCACCAUUAUGCCCUGAGAAAAACAAUUUAGAAUACUUCGACCUCAAUUGUUUUUUAAAUAAAGUCCAAAUAUUAAUUAUUCAAACAGCAAAACAAAAGUGUUCAUGAUAUUGCAAAAUUUCCCAAAGCUUUUAUAAAAAUGAAACCAACGUUUUAUAAAGUGUUUAAGUGCCCUAAAAAUAAUUAAAACAGUGCCAAGACAAUAUUUCAAUGCUUAUCUAAAUUAUGAAAAGUCCAAACUAUUUUAAAAAUAAACUCCCAAACAUUUUGUGGCAGUGCAGAUUGUUGCCUAGUAAUUAUGGAGACAAGUUUCGCAUGCAAUGAAAUUCAUUUGGAUCAAAAUCAAAAUACAAAACUGAGGGGAAACUUGUCACAAAAAAAGAGAAAGGAAAUAGACUAGAUACUAUUCACUUAAGGCCCGACAAGCCACAGUGCGGCCUGGCCUGCCCAAGUCGGCCUUUCAUCCUCCUCCCGCAUCUCUCUGGAUGCACGAGACGCCAUGGCCGUCCAGAGCGGAUGCACCGCACGAUGUGCUCCACCGCGACGAGCCCUGUAGCCCUAGCGGGGAUAAGAUCAACGCCCACACGCGCUGGACAAUCCCCAGUAUAUUUUCCCCCUCUCUCCCUCGCGCUGCUCCAUCCUCGACUGCCAUGGCUGCCAUUGUCGUCGUCGGUCGCGUAGCCACCGCACGCCCAUCGCUGCCUCUCUGCGUCCAUCAGCUCCGACGGGAUCCUCUUCGUCUCCCUCGCCGCAGGACCUGAGCCGGCGAGUGCCACUGCCGUCGCCUGCAUCUUCUUCCCCAACCUCGGCUGUCGCAUCUCGCCUUCGACCUACGCAUCCCCGACCAUCCCCGAGCCUCCUGAGCCGCCCUACGAGUGCGC